rnacentral:tRNA from 1 species
GGAGAGUUUUGAUCUCUCAGUUGUAGGUUCAAUUCCUAU